UCUAUUCAACCCAGAGCCCAAAUCAUCAGCAACCAAAACGCUGGUUCCUCUUUCCUCCUAGGUCCUCAAACAUUUCCAAGGGAGGAGGCAGAAUUACAUUCUGCAGAAUUCACUUGCUGUUUGCUUGACUGUUUUCUCCUACGGAGUAGAAGCUUCUUGAAGGCCUGGACUGGGUCUUUUCGCCAUUGACUAUGGAGGGGAUUUUCAGGGAUGUUGAUUACCAACGAACGUUCUGGAAGGCCUGUGGCAUGCACACGUCCUCCCUCAGGAGACCACGAGGGAAUAGGAGAAAACGGACGUCCCGGAAAAGAAUUCUCAAAUGGGAACUCUGGCUUCCAAGUCCGGUUCAGCCACACCACAGCUGUGGCCUUGGAAGUUUGCUUUAACAUCUCGGCAUGUCAGUGUCCUCCUAUGUGAAAUGACGACCAGAAGCCGACAUCCACCUGGCACUCGGGAGCCUGCACAAGUAUGUUCAUUGGAGCGGGUCCAUGAAAGUGGAAAACUGGAAACAUCCCACAGUGCAACAAUUCAUUUAAACAAAUGAAGACACACGCACACCAUGGAACGGUAUCAUCCGUGGGUGAUGACGUGGAUGUUCAUACACAGGAAGGAUAUUUGUGGCCCAUUACCAAGUAGAGAAGUUGUUGUAGUUCAGUAGGCAUAGCGCUAUGUCAUUUUUGUUAAUUUUGUAAAAAUAAGAUAUUUACACGUAUCAUCAUUCAUCUGUUUAACAAGAUUUACUCUGCACAGUU